ACGCUCGACACCUACAGGAGGCAGCAGUGGGGAAUAUUGCACAAUGGGGGGAAACCCGAUGCAGCGACGCCGCGUGAAGGAAGAAGUAUUUCGGUAUGUAAACUUCUAUCAGCAGGGAAGAAAAUGACGGUACCUGACUAAGAAGCCCCGGCUAACUACGUGCCUGCAGCCGCGGUAAUCUGAGCGGGCUGGCAAGGC
rnacentral:rRNA from 1 species